AAAGUCGUAACAAGGUUUCCGUAGGUGAACCUGCGGAAGGAUCAUUACAGAAUAAACUUGGUGGGUUGUUGCUGGCUCUCAACUGGGCAUGUGCACACCUGUCAUCUUUAUCUUUCCACCAUGUGCACUUUCUGUAGAACUGGAAUGAACAAUAAGCCUAGUCAACAUUUGCUGACUACGGGAAUGUUGCUGAUUCAGCUCAUUCUGUAUCUGGCUGUUUAUUCCGGGCUCUACGAUAUCUCUAUAUACACCAUGUAUGUUAAUGAACGCAAUCAAUGGGCCCAUAAAGCCUAUAAACCUAUAAUACAACUUUCAGCAACGGAUCUCUUGGCUCUC
rnacentral:misc_RNA from 1 species